rnacentral:lncRNA from 1 species
GACAGGACCAGGAACUGUUGGCGGGGCCGGGCCGGGACUGGAGCACUGGGCGGAGAUCCGGACCGCACCGGCGACGGUGGGGCGGGAGAAGCCGCCUUCUGAGACCAGGCCGCCCCCGUCUACGUGAAGACUCUGCCAGGUGAAGACUCUUGCCUUGCGCUCUGCACCAUCAGCCUCUUGUUAUCUGUUCCCCCUAGGACUCCCCAAUUUUUGACAGUGACAGUCUCCUUUCGGUGGUCCCGCCCAAAGUGGAAUCUGAGCAAGUGGCACCCUACUACCUGCGCAGCCCUCAAACGUCUGCAGAUGCUGCUCACAGUCUUCUGGACACCCAGGGAUCUCUUAGAGGAAGCCUGAAAAUAAAUGUGAGACCACGUUUUUGAAAACUCCAAACCUUGAUUGCAGGGCAUGACCGGAGCUCAAACUGAAUCAGAAAAACAUCCAUUACCAGAUAGAAGUAACGUUGUAAAAACGUAUAUUCUUCACCAGUAAGUUUGAUCCCAAUAGAAAUGUCAACAGGAUUUUUCAAAAAACUUGAUAAGCUGAUCCUAAAGUCAUCUGGAAGAGAUAAUCCUCAAGAAUAGUGGGGGGAAAAAUCCAGAAAGAAGGAAGGCAGGUGGGGAGGGGGUAAAAAGCUCAAGCAGAAUUCCCCUUCUGUAUUUAAAAGCUACCUCAAAGGCAACAUGGUAUUUGUGGAGAGACAAUUGGAGUAAAUCUAAGAAUCCUGAAACAAGCCUAAGUGUACAGGAAAUAUAGGGCCCGAAAAUCAGGAAAAGAUAGGUUCUUCAAUAGUGUUGGGAUUUCCAAGUGGAAAAGGAACGCGUACACCAGGCACAGGCCAGUGGCCAAUGCCUGUAAUCCCAGCCAUUAGGAGGCAAGGCAGCAGGAUGGCAAGUUCAAAACCAGCCCCAGCAGCUUAGGGAGGCCUUGAGCAACUUAGUGAGACCCUGUCUCUAAACAAAAAGUAAAAAGGUCUAGGGAUGUGUUUCAGUGGUUAAGUGCCCCUGGGUUUAAUCUCUGGUAUUAGAAAAGAAGAAGAAAGAAAAAGAAAGGAAAGGAAAGGGUAAAUGGAAUCUCGACCUUACUUUGUUUUAAAAUGCAGUGUGAGUGACAUUAAGGACUAAUAGUAAAAACAAAAUUGCAAAACUAACAAAAUCAAAUACAAGUGAAUAUUUCAGAUUUCCAGUGGAUAACUUUUCCCUCCUGAAGCUGCCAGUGAACCCAGAGCCUCAUAUAUUCUAAGUACCUACUUCCACUAAACCCCAGCCCUGUAAUUCAAACCAUCUCUAGAUUGUUUGCAAUACCUACUACAAUGUAAAUAAUAUGUAAAUAGUUGUUAUAUUACUUUGUUUAGGGAAUAGUGACCAAAAAAAAGCUGGUAAGUAUUCAAUACAAAGCAAUUUUUUUCCAAAUAUUUUCCAUCUGAAGUUGGUUGAACCCAAAGACUCAUGGACAUGAAGGGCCAUCUGUCCAUUGUUUUACAUGUUUUAAAGCCGUAUGCAGGCCAGGUACAGUGGCACCUGCCUGUAAUCCCAGCUACUCAGGAAGCUGAGGAAAGAGAAUUGUAAGUUCAAGGCCAGGCUCACCAACUUGGUUAUCUGUUGGCAAAUUAGUUAUCUGUUGCUGCAAAACAAGUUACUCCAAAACUGAGCAUCUUACAGCAUCAGCAUGGAUCAUCGCACACAAUUACUGGAGUCAGAGGCCUGGAAGGUGCUUGACUGAGUGAUUCUGACUUAGGGUCUGUGUCAGUCUGCUUUCUGUCACUAUGGCAAAUACCUGAGAUAAAUCAAUUUGAAAGGAGGAAAGGGGGCUGGAGUAGUGACUCAGCAGUAGAGCACUUGCCUGGUAUGUGUGAGGCCCUGGGUUUGAUCCUCAGCACCACAUAUAAAUAAAUAUAUAAAAAUAAAAGGUCUAUUAACUAUAUUUUUUUAAAAAAAAGGAGGAAAAGGUUUAUUUUGACUCACAGUUUCAGAGGUUUUAGUCCAGGGUUGGUUGGCUCGGUUGCUGUUGGUCCUGUGGCAAGACAGAACCCCAUGGUAGGGAGCAUGUAGUAGCGCAGAGCUGCUCACUCACAGCAGCCAGGGGGCAAAGAAUGAGAAGAAGAGGUGGGUCCCAAUUUCCCCUUCAAGGAUAUUCCCCCAUGAUCUAGUCUCCUCCCACUGAACCCCACCUCCUGAAUUCCCUACCACCUCUGGUGGUGUCAUAGCCAGUGACCAAACCUUCAGCACAUGGGCUUGUGCAAGACACUCCAGAUCCAAACUGUAGCAGGGUGUCUGGAGACUGUGGUCAAUUUGUUAGCCAGGCCCCCGAGGAUGUGUAUGGAACUGCAGAGUCCCCUUUUAAUCCCAUGAACAUGGCUACUGGUGGGAGACCUCCAUUUCUUAAGGUGGGGCCCUCUGUAUGGCUGCUUGAAUAUCUUCCCAACAUGGCAGCUGGCCAUCCCCAGAGUGAGUGAUCUGCAGUACCUCCGUGACCUGCCAUCCCUCACUUCCCCCACACCUGCACUCUGAAAUCACUAGAUCCAACCGAAUCAAGGGUGCAUAGUAAGCUGCACCUCCUGGAGAGAGGAGGGUUUGUGGAAGUAAUUGAAAGCAUCAGCACCCAAUCACUGACAAAUGCUUGAUAGCCCUGGAUGCUCCACAGAGGAGAAUGCAGAGUCCUGGGAGAUGAGGUCAGUGGGAUGCUCCCCAGUCAGGGUGAGGGAGGGAGCCCUUGAAAGCAUAACACUGCCUGCUACAGUGCAGAAGGAAGCUGGAGGAAGACUUGCCAAAAGCAAGGGGAACCAGGACAGAGGCCUGAAGGCAGAGCAGCUGGAGAGGAGGGACGGAGCUGGGCAUGCCACUGCUCCCCCUCUCACCCCCUUUCUGCCCUUUCUCUGAAUGUCUUUGCAGGAGAAGCUUUAUAAACAUUUAGGACUGACUGACAGACCUGAACCCAGCAUGAGGAGACAAAGGUGCCAACACCCCCAGGCCCCUACGUGGAUACCCAACAUGAGCAGUUUCUCUGUGCUCCUGAGCCUCUUCUCAGUACUACAGGAAGGACACUCACCGGCACCUCACAGAAGGGGAAGCCAGAAGGCUCAGUGAUCAUCACACUCUGAGUGCAGGGUAGGGCUGGGUUUCUUCUUCACCAACCUGGAUGGACACAGCAGAAGCAGGGUGGGCCAGGCUGAGGCUCAGGCACAGACCUUCCUCUAAGGGGAUUCACAGAGCUGGAAAGGAACAGGGGUGUCAGAAUGGAACAAGGGAACAGCUUUCUUCUAAGCUGAACAUGAAACUCAAACCAGAGGUUCUUGGUUCAGGGCCUGCCAGCAGAGUUAGACCUGGAGGGAGCACCUGAGCCCCAGAACUGCCUGCUUCUGAUGGCUUUUGGGAGUCAUCAUGCUCUUUACUUUCUAAAAGUCACAUGUGUGUGUUGGUGAAAGCUCGGUCCUUGUCCCUGAUAUCAACCAAUAAUGGGGACACAGUAUUGAGAAAAAGGAAGAAGAAAGUUUAUUGCGUUGUCAGCAAAGGAGAAACACGGGGGACUCCUGUCCAAGAGGCUGUGAUUCUGCCUGUCAGCAGGAGCAGGGGGCUGGGGUGGGGGUGAUCAUUUCACAGGCACAUAUUCUUAUGGAAGUUAAACAGCACUGCCUCAGAAUCAAAACUUUGGAACUUCUAGAUAAAACGACUCUGAUUUGAAAUGGUGAAUCUGAUGCCAAUAUUGCCCAUCAGCAGGAGCAGGGGAUUUUUAAAGAGGUGACUCAAAGGCUACAUUCCACUUGUUCUCUGUUGUAGUUGUGAUUCACUUGUUCACUUGGGAGAGAGUCCUUUCUAAGAUCUUCUGGUGCCAUCCCCAAAGUCUGGAUUACUUCCUUCCUGUGGUGAGUGUGUGCUCAAGGACAGAUAAGCUCUGCCUAGGAGGGGGAAGAGAGGUAAUCCUGUUUCCCCUGAGAUUAGGGAGGGGGAGAUUAGGGAAGAGCAGGGAGAGAGGAAGAGAAGGAAACAUGUGCAUUUUAAAAUAAGUUGAAGUGGUUAGGUUCAAAGUUGCAAUGCUUAGGUUCAAAGCAUAAAGUGGACCCUAUUACAUGUUGACAUGUUGGGGUCUCCUAGAAUCAGGGAGGAACCACCCCCAGGCUAGCUAAGUCCUAGAGACAACA